rnacentral:rRNA from 1 species
GGAUCCAGACUUUGAUUCUGGCUCAGGACGAACGCUGGCGGCGUGCUUAACACAUGCAAGUCGUACGAGGCAGAUUUUCAUCACUGAACUUUAAAGAGCGGACUGAUGAGAGGCGUCGUGAAUGCGAAGCAUUCACCACACUUUUAUAAAGUGCUUAACUUUAAGGCUGAGUGAUGAAAAGAUGCCGAGUGGCAAACGGGUGAGUAACGCGUAGACAACCUGCCGUAAAGAUGGGGACAACAGUUCGAAAGGACUGCUAAUACCGAAUGUUGUAGAGUUUCCGCAUGGGGAUCCUACUAAAGGUGGCCUCUACUUGUAAGCUAUCGCUUUACGAUGGGUCUGCGUCUGAUUAGCUAGUUGGUGGGGUAACGGCUUACCAAGGCGACGAUCAGUAGCCGGUCUGAGAGGAUGAACGGCCACAUUGGAACUGAGACACGGUCCAGACUCCUACGGGAGGCAGCAGUGGGGAAUCUUCCGCAAUGGGCGCAAGCCUGACGGAGCAACGCCGCGUGAGUGAAGAAGGGUUUCGACUCGUAAAGCUCUGUUGUCGGGGACGAAUGUGGAGAUGGUGAAUAACCAUUUUCAAUGACGGUACCUGACGAGGAAGCCACGGCUAACUACGUGCCAGCAGCCGCGGUAAUACGUAGGUGGCGAGCGUUGUCCGGAAUUAUUGGGCGUAAAGGGAGCGCAGGCGGGAAGGUAAGUCUAUCUUAAAAGUGCGGGGCUCAACCCCGUGAGGGGAUGGAAACUAUCUUUCUUGAGUGCAGGAGAGGAAAGCGGAAUUCCUAGUGUAGCGGUGAAAUGCGUAGAUAUUAGGAGGAACACCAGUGGCGAAGGCGGCUUUCUGGACUGUAACUGACGCUGAGGCUCGAAAGCGUGGGGAGCGAACAGGAUUAGAUACCCUGGUAGUCCACGCCGUAAACGAUGAAUGCUAGGUGUAGGAGGUAUCGACCCCUCCUGUGCCGGAGUUAACGCAAUAAGCAUUCCGCCUGGGGAGUACGGCCGCAAGGCUGCAACUCAAAUGAAUUGACGG